rnacentral:rRNA from 1 species
GACGAACGCUGGCGGCGUGCUUAACACAUGCAAGUCGAACGGUAAGGCCCUUCGGGGUACACGAGUGGCGAACGGGUGAGUAACACGUGGGUGAUCUGCCCUGCACUUCGGGAUAAGCCUGGGAAACUGGGUCUAAUACCGGAUAGGACUCCGGACUGCAUGGUCUGGGGUGGAAAGCUUUUGCGGUGUGGGAUGGGCCCGCGGCCUAUCAGCUUGUUGGUGGGGUGAUGGCCUACCAAGGCGACGACGGGUAGCCGGCCUGAGAGGGUGACCGGCCACACUGGGACUGAGAUACAGCCCAGACUCCUACGGGAGGCAGCAGUGGGGAAUAUUGCACAAUGGGCGCAAGCCUGAUGCAGCGACGCCGCGUGAGGGAUGACGGCCCUCGGGUUGUAAACCUCUUUCAGCAUCGACGAAGCGAAAGUGACGGUAGGUGCAGAAGAAGGACCGGCCAACUACGUGCCAGCCGCCGCUGUAA